CCUCUUCUUUCGUCAACCUUUUGCGCCUAUAUUCGUUCUGCCGGCGCAAGCCGGCUAUGGCGAUAAACGGACGUCGUAAUAAACCUUUCGGACCCGGGGGCAGUACCCGGCGACUCCACCAAUUCGAGGAGUCGGUCAUCAAAGUGACAGUAAUCAGAGAUGCUUCUGAUUACCGAUUACUGAUCACCGACUCCCGUCGCGGGGUCGAAAUAGGAUCGACGAGGGCGUAAAGGGCGUACUUUUGCUCGGCAUGGUUCCGCCGUUAUCGGGCCAAAUCAUAGUUGCAAACGACAACUAUGCUCCGGUUGCUCUGGCCGCGUAAGCGGCUCGAAAGACCGAUCUGAAGCCCUGGCGUCUUAGCAGCGCCAGGCGGGGUUCGGAGGCACCUGGCAACAGAAGCCUCCACU
rnacentral:tmRNA from 1 species